UUAAGACACGGUGGGAAGAAAUGGACUGACUUACAAAAUGUUUCAUCUAGUGCUCCUGGAAAGACUCUUAGUUCGGACAGAAGUGAAGAAAAGCAAAUAGAGAAAGGUGAUGAUUUUUCAAACGAGGAAUCAUUUCUUUUGUCCCUUCAGUCACAGACGCGAGGAAACAAAGAUACCAUUGAGUCGUCUUUCAAAAGUCAAAAAUCUGCUGAUACGACAGAAUUUAGUGGAAAAUCAUCAGAAAGUGAAACACCAUCAAAUUCAUCAUUGUUGGAAAGUGGUGAUAAAUUGGCUUGCAGUAAAUUAUGAUAACAAUAACAUCUAUGGUAUUUUAAGUAACGAUUUAAGGUAUGAACGAAUUUUUAACUAAGAAUAGAAUGAAAAAUAACCCAAAAUAAAAGAAUUUACCUAGAUAUAUCUUGAACCAAUGCAUAAUGAGACGAAAAAAUGUAACUAUUGUGCUGCUAUUGACAAAAAAUGUCAUACUAACUUCAUAGUAACAUUUUGAAAUAACUAUGUGUUGUCUAUAGCUAUAGUCAGUGUUAACGAACUGAGAAUAUAUAGCUAUUGAUUCGUGCAAAGAUUUGAUUUUAAUUUACUGCAAAAGAUCAGACAACUAACCACUUAAAAAGAGUAUAAACGACGUACUAAGUUUAA